UACUAGUAUCAGAUCAAUAUAUGCGUUUGAUUGUGUGUUGGAAAAAGCGUAUGAUUUUUGGCAUGAGGUUGGACUGGAUGAAUUUUUUUCUAUAACAAAAACUAGUAUAGAUAAAUUAUAAGGAAAAAUCCUUUUUUUUUUUUUGAGAAACGGGAAAAAUUCCUAUGAAUUGCAAUCCUACGAAUCAAAUAACCCACGUGAACAAAAUACUAAGAAUUAAAAUCCCCCAGGAUUUCUUUAUAAAUCCUUGAACCAAAGAAGUGGGCUUCCCUUUAGAAAAAAAAGAAGUGGGCUUGCAAAUCCUAUCACGUGACCUAUUUAUCCUCUCAGAUUUGGGCCAUUGAGAAAAUCUGAGCCCAACCUAUUUUCUCUACUUGGGAUUGGACCGGCAGGAGCAGGCUCCAGCCCAUACGCCACAUUCCGAUCGGUGGCGCCGCUCCGCUGCCCAGCGCCUCUCCGCGCAGUCCGGCGGCCGCAUCGCCUCCCGGCUCCCGCGAAAGCUAUCCAAGGCACGGCGAGAAGCAGCCAUUCUCGUGCUCAUCUCCCAGUUCACCACUCCCACGUAGAACGGCAGCUCGCAAGCCCUAGCGAAUCUCCCGAUCCGCAGCCACCCGGCGCGUGCCGGCGGCCGGAAUUGAACAGCGAUUAAUCUCGGGAAGCUUACGAACCGGCGGCUGGCGGCCGGUGUUAGCGCAUAUGUUUCGACAAUCUACAACUCGGAGCUAAAAUUUCGGCAAGGGACGGCGAGACACGCCCUUCAAGUCCUCUAAAUGCAAGGGAGACUUCAGUGACAGCCCUGUCUUCAGGCGAUGCCUUCCCACUUGCAGCAGGCCGUGCUGUUGUCAUGCCACGACAUGGCGAGGCCGCCAUAUCGCGACAGCCCAGAAAGGAAACGGAGGAGGUUGCACUUCUCCUGCUCGGUGCAUGCGGUGGCAGGAGAGGCCAAGAAGAGCUGCAGGAUCAGCUGCAGCACGACCGGAGGAAUGGUGAAUGAAUGCAUUGGUUGGUGCCCCCUCUCCCCCCUUUUGUUUUGAUGUUGCUUGAAGAAUGCAUGCAGUGCUGGUGGUAGUUAUCAUCUAGUAGUGGAUUUAUUUGCACAUCAGACCUACUGAACACCACACAUAAGAUUCCCUAUUUCAUGUCGUGGGUGCACCUUAGGACCCUGGUCCACGGUUGGUCGAUACACAAAAGACAGCAACACUAGGAUAGGAAAGCAACAUCCCUAUCAAUUAGCUGUAGUAAAAGGCUAUAAACUAGUUUAUAAUCUGUCAUUUAGUUAUGGAUGGAUUAAGUAGUUACCGAUUAGUCCCAAAUUUUCAAGUAGCGAGAAGCCAACCUAUUAUCUCGCUGCCCCAAGGUUCAUGUUUAAGUAUAAUAGCUGAAGAACAUAUUGGAAGGUUAAUUACUAGUUUGCUCAUCUUGCCUGUCCUAUUCAUGGCAUUGCUGCUCAAUAAUACAUAGAUAUAGGUGGUGGUCUUUGGUUACGGACUUACAGCACUAGUUUUGUUUACCGCAAGUGUCAGGCUGGCAUUGGUAGGCAGGCCCAAAGGGGGUACCAACCUACUAAUGGUCUUUGGUUACAGACUUACAACGCUAGUUUUAUUUACCGCAAGUGUCAGGCUGGCAUUGGUAGGCAGGACCAAAGGGGGUACCAACCUACUAAUUGUUGUGUUUUUCCCAUGGUUCAUGUCUAUGGUGGUAUUCUGCUCAUAAUUAUUAUGUGGAUUUCCCACCAGCUCUUUGACUCUUUGUAGCAGAUGAAUACAUAUCCAUGAUUUCAGUUUGAAAAAUUGCUUCAUGGUUCUGUUUUCUGACUUUUUGUAGCUAAUGAAUAAAUAUCCAUGAUUUCAGGUUGAAAAACCGCUUCAUGGUUGUGUUUUUCUCAUGCUUCCUGUUAGUUCCUCAGAAAUCAUAUUAAUGUCAUUUCCUUUGGGAGAAGUCUUGAACAAAAGCAGAAUUAAUGGUACAUAUCACAUAUGCAUCAUCCAUCAAUGUAAUAUUCCAGAUGCACAAAGAAUAGCCAUGGAUUAUUCCCCUGUUCUUUUUGUGCAUAGAAGCUUUGAGCUUCAACUUCCUAUGUCUGUUUUUUCUCUUGUUAUUUUGUUUUCUUUUUUGGACAGAAAAGUAGCAUGUAGAUGUCUUCCUAUCCUGCUUUCACUACUUGGCAGUUCGAGUUCACCUGUUAAACAAUUAGUCUUGAUUA